ACACAUCUUUUCUUUUGAUCAUUUUAUAAGUUGUAUUAAUCAAAUUAUAGGUAGUGAAAACCAAUUUUUAUAUAUUGCUUCAUUUUGGUAUUGCACUCCAGCUGUUUGAUGAUUUGUCUAAUUGAACAACUAUUUGUUAAUAUGGGUAGCUAGGACUCUAUAUAUGCUAUCUUUUUUUUUUUUUUUUAAAAGAAAAUUCUUUGUAUUAAUCAUGGGAAAAAAUACAAAGAUUAGAGAUCAAUGGACGAUCUCAGUAAGCUAAAAUAUAGCUUGAAACAGAAAACAAACAUAGUAAGAAUCAUCCUUUGACCCUGGCUUGUUUAUGUACCCUUGUAGUGUAAUAAGUUUCAUGUGAGAUGCAGUUACAUAUUUUUAUUUCUGUUGUAAUUUGUAAUCAUAUAAGCAUGUCUGUGUAGACUCCUAGAAUUCUGGUGGUCCUUAUGUGCAAGAAUGAAUUUGAUGCUCGAUACCAGAAGCCUGAAGAUAAACUAUAUAUUGCGCAACUGUAUUUUCCUCUUAUUGGCCAGAUUUUGGAUGAGAUGCCUGUUUUUUACAACCUUAAUGUUGUUGAAAAGCGUGAAGUUCUCAUAGUUAUUUUGCAAAUUGUGCGCAAUCUUGAUGAUGCAUCACUUGUGAAGGCAUGGUAGCGGAGCAUUGCAAGGACUAGAUUAUUUUUCAAACUCAUGGAGGAAUGCCUAAGUCUUUUUGAGCACAGAAGGUCUGCUGAUGGCAUGCUUAUGGGUUCUAGUUCUCGUAGUCCUGUUGGGGAUGCACCUGCUUCCCCUAAGUACUCUGAUAGACUUUCUCCGGAAAUCAACAAUUAUCUGUCUGAGGCAUCAAGACAAGAAGUCAGACCUCAGGGAACACCUGAAAAUGGAUAUUUGUGGCAAAUAGUAAAUUCUCAGUUAAGUUCUCCUAGCAAGCCAUAUUCAUUGAGAGAGGCUCUAGCUCAGGCACAAUCUUCUAGAAUUGGAGCUUCUGCUCAGGCUCUUAGAGAAUCUUUGCACCCAUUAUUGAGGCAAAAACUGGUUUUGGCAUAAAGGAUUUAACCAAUUUUGAUGUUAUUGUUGUGGUACACUUUCAAAGUUAGGGUUCUACUUAGCAGAUAAAACUGCUUCAUAAAUUUGAGUGUUUCAGGAACUAGAGAGAAAGAGCACAACAGCUGCUGCACUCAAGUCACUUCAACAUAAACUUGAGAAAUACAAGAUAAAGUUGAACAACUCGUAUAAGAAUACUCGAGUAUACUUAUAACUUGUUCAUGUUGCACAAAACUGAUUACAAGGACAAGAAGAAGAAAUAUAUGUUGUUUGACAAUGAAUUUAGUGUUUUAUUAUAUUUGUAAUUUUUAUUAGAGUAAAUGAUUUUUAUUUGAAUGGUUAAUUAUUUACUUUGUAAAUCUAGUUACAUAUUUUUUAAGGUCAAGACGAUUAUAAUUUUAAUAAGUUUUGUUAUUUUAA